UAAAGGAGAUCAUACGGUGGGGUUAGGAGGAGAUACUCUAUAUUAGAGGUGGUAAAGGAGAUCUCACAGUGGGGUUAGGAGGAGAUACUGUAUAUUAGAGGAGGUAAAGGAGAUCUCACGGUGGGGUUAGGAGGAGAUACUCUAUAUUAGAGGAGGUAAAGGAGAUCUCACGGUGCGGUUAGGAGGAGAUACUCUAUGUUAGAGAAGGUAAAGGAGAUCUCACGGUGGGGUUAGGAGGAGAUACUGUAUGUUAGAGAAGGUAAAGGAGAUCUCACGGUGGGGUUAGGAGGAGAUACUCUAUAUUAGAGGAGGUAAAGGAGAUCUCACGGUGGGGUUAGGAGGAGAUACUCUAUAUUAGAGGAGGUAAAGGAGAUCUCACGGUGGGGUUAGGAAGAGAUACUCUAUAUUAGAGGAGGUAAAGGAGAUCUCACGGUGCGGUUAGGAGGAGAUACUCUAUAUUAGAGGAGGUAAAGGAGAUCUCACGGUGGGGUUAGGAGGGGGAUACUCUAUAUUAGAGGAGGUAAAGGAGAUCUCACGGUGGGGUUAGGAGGGGGAUACUCUAUAUAAGAGGAGGUAAAGGAGAUCUCACGGUGCGGUUAGGAGGAGAUACUCUAUGUUAGAGAAGGUAAAGGAGAUCACACGGUGCGGUUAGGACGGGGAUAUGCUAUGUUAGAGGAGGUAAAGGAGAUCACACGGUGGGGUUAGGAGGAGAUACUCUAUAUUAGAGGAGGUAAAGGAGAUCUCACGGUGGGGUUAGGAGGAGAUACUCUAUAUUAGAGGAGGUAAAGGAGAUCUCACGGUGGGGUUAGGAGGGGGAUACUCUAUAUAAGAGGAGGUAAAGGAGAUCUCACAGUGAGGUUAGGAGGAGAUACUUGUUACAAAAGACUGGAAAUCACUAUGUUGCUGUUUUAACUCACCGAGUGAUACUGUUUGCCACUGCAUAAGUUAAGCAGAAAACCACACGAAUGGAUUAUGCGAACCCUUAUCAAGGCUCCAUUCGUGGUACGAACGGGGGGACCCCCACAAACUGGCGUGUGCCGCCACUUAACCCCGUCACCCCACAAACUACCGAACGGUCGACCACCCGGCCCGGAGUGUGGCAGCCAUUAACCACCCAGGUGCCUGCGGUUUGCGGUUAACCACAACGUAAUUGGUAGGCCUGGGGGCAUCGACGUUCGCACCCAAAGUACCGAAGGGAAAAUACCGAACUAUCAACCGAACGACGACCCCCUACAGCGGGUCGUGUGACGCUCGUUAACUUGUGGUUUUUGCGGUUAACCGCAGGUCAAGUACCCUGCUCCCAGGUGGUCCUCAUUCCCUUACCGAACGAGCCCACUACCAGCCAGACAGCGGGACUUCACAUGAACUGAUACCGAGUUUAGUUCCACGAGUUAGACACGAAGUCCCGCUUCUCGCUAAAACAGCAGAAAACAUGGCCGCCAACAAAGACUAAUAAUCCCAAAAUGCCGAACGGACUUCAUACGGCAGAAACAGUACAUUCUGUUCGUGGGAUUAGAGCGCCAUUCGCAUGUUUUAUUUACACGAACCUGAGCCUUCAGAUGAAUGGUAGAAUGCGGGGUUUGUCUUUAUUAAUGUAAAAGUUAUGGAUUUUUAUGCAGUUUUCUGGGACGUAAUAAAACGUGGUCUUUGGUGCGCUUGGAGAUAAUUAGAUUGUAUAACCGUUGGCCUCAUUAUCUCCAAGCUGGGCGGGUACUAAUUCAAAGGAUACACUGUAUUGUGAUUGGAUAUGUGUCUGUACUGUACCUGUAUUCCAUCAGGUCCACAGGAGGCUGUCCUUGGACCUGAGGAAUCACAUAAAUUGCCAUGCUAUGUGCCAGUAAAACCAGUUCGUUUUGACCCUCAACUUGCAGCCUCGACUUUGUAGGGAUCCGGGAUAUUGAUGCUUAUAUCGUGCUUGGGGAUAUUCUACAUUUGCAGUUUACUACCGACAGACCUCCGUUCGACUCUCUGCAGCGGGAACCAGGACAUCCAAGCGAUCAACCCUCCUGCUAGACCGGGGGCAAUCGUAACAAUUGGUGGCAGCGGUGGGAUCAUCCUGGGAUUCCUGAAAGAGAUAUAUAGGACGGAUGGAGAGUAACUACGAUAGGCUGAAGCGUACCACGUUAAAGGAUAUACUCGAGAGCCGUGGAGGGAACGCAAGUAACCGGCCGAGGAGAGAAUUGAUUGCCGACCUGAACGAGUUGGAUCAAAGCUUCACCAUGGCAGAACCGACGGCAGCAUGCAGCGAUGAGAAGACCAGGCUUGUCCGAGAAAGGCUGCCUCUGUACGGACCGAACCCAUCCGUGGAGCUGAUACAGCAACUAAUGGCAGAAGCCGAGGCGGACGUACAGCGGACUAGAGCCCACGAGCUGAGCAUGAAGACCGCUGAUAGCCACAGCGGCCCCCUAGAAACUACCGAACAGCCAAAGAUCCCGUUCGCGGCAUUCAAGCCGUUCGCGGAGAAUGAGAUGGGGAUAGACUAAUUUUUGGCCGAUUUUGAAAGACAAUGUGCCCUGCAUCAGAUCCCCGUCGCCGCGUGGCCACGUAUCCUGGCAGGAAAAUUAACCGGGCGGGCCAUGGAAGCCUUCCGAACCCUCAGCGCAGAAGAGGUAGCCCAAUACACCACAGUAAAAGAAACGCUGCUGAAACGGUACGCUGUGACCCCAGACACCUACCGAAGGCAGUUCCGCAGCACGAAGAAAAAAGCGAAUGACACACAUGCCGAAUGGGCACACCGUAUGCGGAGAGCUGCUACCCAUUGGAUUACCGGGGGUGUCGGGCCGUCACGGCCGCGGAAAUAUUGGAACUUUUCUUAUUAGAACAUUUUUAUGAGGGUCUGGAACAAAAAGACCGGGAGUGGUUGAAAGACCGGCGUCCCGCUAACCUACACGAAGCAGCCCGGUUGGCAGACGAACACCGGGAUGCGCAAGUACAGGAGUUCAACAAUGCCCGAACGGUAACUCGCCCCGAACCAAGAGAGGGAUACCGAUCAACUCCACGAACGGAGUUUCGCAACCCUGUACCCACAGGUCCUACAAGGUACCCGGGACCACCCAGCCACUAUCCUCAGGAACACUCCCGACCAACAUGUUAUAAGUGCAAGCAACCGGGGCACCUGAUAGCGAGUUGCCCCCUCAACAACAAUUACCCCACACGGAACUAUAAUUCCGCUCCAACGGGAAACAACCGUCCAGCUCGAGCGUUUUGCCUGGAACAAGACAGUCCUUUAGAAGAAUACCUGGGACCCCUACAUGAAGCUAAUCCUGUGUAUGCCGCCAGUGACAAUAGACAACACCACCGGCAAGAGGUGCUGCUAGAGGGUCGUCCUACACAAGGGUUAAGAGAUACCGGAGCCACGAUCACCUUGGUACAAAGCCGGUUAGUCCCUGACUACAAACGCUCUUCUGACACAGUGGCUGUCCGGGUGGCUGGAGGGGACAUAUAUAAACUACCCACAGCAAAGGUACACUUGGAUUGGGGUGCGGGAAAAGGACUUGUGAGGGUGGGAAUUAUGGAUAAUUUGCCAGCCGAAGUUUUGCUGGGAAAUGACCUGGGACCUAUGACUUCAGCUUAUGCCCCUUCCUACAACGCUGAGGCACAUCCGGUGACGACCCGGUCACAAGCUGGACGAGCACGAGACCCUUCACCAGUGCGGGAGACUCAGGUAAGACUUAACCCGACUGUGACCCCCCCUCCUACCCCGUUGCCCUGGGACACUCCUGCAGCCUUCGAGGCUGAGACCAAAACUGAUCCGACGCUCCAAAAAUAUAGAGAAAGGGCUGAUACAGGGACUGGGAUCAGACCAGGAGACGUUUGCAUGGGAACAGGGUCGACUGUACCGACACACAGAGAAGAAGGGCCACCGGAGGAGACAGUUAGUAAUACCCCACAAGUAUAGGCGAGAUAUCCUCCGGGUGGGUCAUGAUAUUCCCUUAGCCGGGCACUUGGCAGUAACCCGUACCCUGCACCGUAUUACCCAUACUUUGUUCUGGCCAGGAGUACAUGCAGAUGUGAGGUCCUAUUGUAAUACGUGCGAGGUGUGCCAACGGGUAGGCAAACGAGGAGACCACCCCAAGGCACACCUCGUUAACAUGCCCAUUAUCGACGAGCCAUUUAGCCGGGUAGCCAUUGACUUAGUUGGGCCCCUGGCCACCCCUAGUCCCUCGGGCAAGAGAUACAUUCUUACCAUAGUGGACUAUGCUACCCGCUACCCAGAAGCUGUGGCCUUAUCUAAUAUCCAGGCAGACACAGUGGCUAAUGCCUUAGUGCAGGUAUUCUCUCGGGUAGGAUUCCCUAGGGAGAUCCUAUCCGACAGGGGAUCGCAGUUCACGGCAGAGCUGACCCAGCAGCUCUGGCACGUUUGCAAAAUUAAAUCCCUGCUUAGCUCCCCGUACCACCCCCAGACCAAUGGGUUAUGUGAGCGGUUCAACGGAACCCUCAAACAGAUGUUAAAAACCUUUACCCAGGAGUAUAGGGACUGGGAGCGUUUCCUGCCGCACCUCCUGUUCGCUUACCGGGAAGUGCCCCAGGAAACCACCGGGUUCUCUCCCUUUGAGCUGUUAUACGGUCGCAAGGUACGGGGCCCCCUGAACCUGAUCCGUGAGCACUGGGAGGGAGAGACCGAGAACGCCGGGGUCCCCAUCGUGCCGUACGUACUGGAGCUCCGGGACCGAAUGGAGCAAUUGGCUAAGUCAGUUCAGGCCAACCUCCAGGCGGCUCAGGGGCGACAGAAAGUCUGGUACGACCGGGGGGCACGGCGAAGAAGCUUCUGUCUCGGGCAGAAAGUUAUGGUACUAAAACCAGUUAAGACGGACAAGCUGCAAGCAGCCUGGCAGGGUCCCUAUCAGAUAGUGGAAAAGAGAGGGGACACCACUUACGUAAUUGCCAGCUGUCACGAUGAAAACUUAAGAAAGAUGUUUCACGUGAACAUGCUGAAGGAGUACUUGCAGAGACCCGAGGAAGUGUCAGCCAUAUGUAGCCCUGCGCACGAGGACGCAGAUGGUUUACCCAUACCCGACUUAUUAACCCCUAAAUCCCCGGUUGAAAUAGUGAGCCAAGUACAGAUUGGGGACAGACUCAGCCCAGUUGAGAGGGAGCAGCUACACAAACUGCUCCGGGAGAAACAAGCCAUGUUCUUCCAAGAACCAGGGUACACGGAGCUGACCACUCACCAAGUAGAUACCCCCGGCCAAAACCCUUUGAGACAAGCUCCCUACCGAAUUCCGGAGGCAGUAAGGACAGGCAUGAAAAAGGAAAUAGAUGAGAUGCUGCGAUUAGGGGUCAUUGAAGCUUCCGAUAGCCCCUGGGCAUCCCCGGUGGUCCUGGUCCCCAAAAAGGACGGCACCACCAGAUUCUGUGUGGACUACCGGAAACUCAAUGACAAAACUGUCACCGAUGCAUACCCCAUGCCCAGGGUGGAUGAGCUACUAGAUCGCAUAGCCAAGGGGAACUACCUAACUACCAUUGACCUCUGUAAGGGUUACUGGCAAAUCCCCCUGGCCAGGGAGGCUGUCCCCAAGUCGGCCUUCGUCACCCCGUUCGGUUUGUACCACUUUAAGGUCAUGCCGUUCGGGAUGAAGAAUGCCCCCGCCACAUUCCAACGCUUGGUGGACAGACUCCUUGAUGGCUUCCAGGAGUUUGCCUGCGCAUACCUGGACGACAUAGCGAUUCAUAGCGAGACCUGGGAGGAACACUUAGCUCAUGUGGGAAUAGUUCUGGACCAGAUCCGAGCCGCCGGCCUAACUCUAAAGCCAGAGAAGUGUCACUUUGGGAUGGCGAAGGUUCAGUACCUGGGUCACCGGGUGGGCUGUGGGAAGCAACGACCGGAGCCAGCCAAAAUAGAAGCGGUCGCCAACUGGCCCACUCCCCACACUAAGACCCAAGUACUAGCUUUUCUGGGUACCGCUGGGUACUACAGAAAAUUUGUACCGGAGUAUAGCGCCAUUGCCAAACCCCUGACCGACCUGACAAAGAAAAACCUUCCCCGACAGGUCCUGUGGUCUCCCCUCUGUGAAACGGCUUUCCAAGCCCUCAAAACUGCGUUGAUUAAUGCUCCUGUCUUGGCUGCCCCAGCCCCUAAUCGACGUUUUAUUGUCCAUACAGACGCUUCCAUGUUCGGGCUGGGAGCUGUCCUCAGCCAAGUAGGAGAUGAUGGGAAGGAACACCCGAUUGCCUACAUCAGUCGAAAACUCCUACCAAGCGAAGUUAGCUAUGCAGCGGUAGAAAAGGAGUGUUUGGCUCUGGUGUGGGCACUAAAGAAGUUAACCCCCUAUUUGUAUGGACAAGAGUUCACUCUGGUUACAGACCAUAACCCGCUGGUGUGGCUCAACCGGGUCGCUGGGGACAAUGGCAGAUUGUUACGCUGGAGCUUAUCCCUGCAGCCCUUUAAUUUCACAAUCACCUACCGACCCGGGAAGCAGAACGGCAACGCCGACGGAUUAUCCCGGCAAACAGAUCUCAGCCCAGCCUAACCCCACGAGUCUGGACAGCCUUAGUAUGCCCCGAAAAGGGGUCAGACAGUGUCUGCCAGAGUGUUCCACAAAGAGGGAGCAUUGUUACAAAAGACUGGAAAUCACUAUGUUGCUGUUUUAACUCACCGAUUGAUACUGUUUGCCACUGCAUAAGUUAAGCAGAAAACCACACGAAUGGAUUAUGCGAACCCUUAUGAAGGCUCCAUUCGUGGUACGAACGGGGGACCCCCCACAAACUGGCGUGUGCCGCCACUUAACCCCGUCACCCCACAAACUACCGAACGGUCGACCACCCGGCCCUCGGAGUGUGGCAGCCAUUAACCACCCAGGUGUCUGCGGUUUGCGGUUAACCACAACAUAAUUGGUAGGCCUGGGGGCAUCGACGUUCGCACCCAAAGUACCGAAGGGAAAACACCGAACUAUCAAUCGAACGACGACCCCAUACAGCGGGUCGCGUGGCGCUCGUACCCUGCUCCCAGGUGGUCCUCAUCCCCUUACCAAAAGAGCCCACUACCAGACAGACAGCGGGACUUCGCAUGAACUGAUACCGAGUUUAGUUCCACGAGUUAGACACGAAGUCCCGCUGCUCGCUAAACCAGCAGAAAACAUGGCCGCCAACAAAGACUAAUAAUCCCAAAAUGCCGAACGGACUUUAUACGGCAGAAACAGUACAUUCUGUUCGUGGGAUUAGAGCGCCAUUCGCAUGUUUUAUUUACACGAACGUGAGCCUUCAGAUGAAUGGUAGAAUGCGGGGUUUGUCUUUAUUAAUGUAAAAGUUAUGGAUUUUUAUGUAGUUUUCUGGGACGUAAUAAAACGUGGUCUUUGGUGCGCUUGGAGAUAAUUAGAUUGUAUAACCGUUGGCCUCAUUAUCUCCAAGCUGGGCGGGUACUAAUUCAAAGGAUACACUGUAUUGUGAUUGGAUAUGUGUCUGUACUGUACCUGUAUUCCAUCAGGUCCACAGGAGGCUGUCCUUGGACCUGAGGAAUCACAUAAAUUGCCAUGCUAUGUGCCAGUAAAACCAGUUCGUUUUGACCCUCAACUUGCAGCCUCGACUUUGUAGGGAUCCGGGAUAUUGAUGCUUAUAUCGUGCUUGGGGAUAUUCUACAUUUGCAGUUUACUACCGACAGACCUCCGUUCGACUCUCUGCAGCGGGAACCAGGACAUCCAAGCGAUCAACCCUCCUGCUAGACCGGGGGCAAUCGUAACAAUACUCUAUAUUAGAGGAGGUAAAGGAGAUCUCACAGUGGGGUUAGCAGGAGAUACUCUAUAUUAGAGGAGGUAAAGGAGAUCUCACGGUGGGGUUAGGAGGGGGAUACUCUAUAUUAGAGGAGGUAAAGGAGAUCUCACGGUGGGGUUAGGAGGGGGAUACUCUAUAUUAGAGGAGGUAAAGGAGAUCUCACAGUGGGGUUAGCAGGAGAUACUCUAUAUUAGAGGAGGUAAAGGAGAUCUCACGGUGGAUACUCUAUAUUAGAGGAGGUAAAGGGUUAGGAGGGGCAUACUAUAUAUUAGAGGAGGUAAAGGAGAUCUCACAGUGGGGUUAGGAGGAGAUAUUCUAUAUUAGAGGAGGUAAAGGAGAUCUCACGGUGGAUACUCUAUAUUAGAGGAGGUAAAGGAGAUCUCACGGUGGGGUUAGGAGGAGAUACUCUAUAUUAGAGGAGGUAAAGGAGAUCUCACGGUGGGGUUAGGAGGGGGAUACUCUAUAUUAGAGGAGGUAAAGGAGAUCUCAC